rnacentral:rRNA from 1 species
UUCCGGUUGAUCCUGCCGGAGGCUACCGCUAUUGGAGUUCGAUUAAGCCAUGCGAGUCCAGAGCUUUCGGAGCUCGGCGUACCGCUCAGUAACACGUGGGUAACCUAACCUAUGCAGGGGAAUAACCUCGGGAAACUGAGAAUAAUGCCCCAUAGUCCACUACGCCUGGAACGGUGAGUGGAUGAAAGCUCAGGCGGCAUAGGAUGGGCCUGCGGCGUAUCAGGUUGUAGGGGGUGUAAAGUACCCUCUAGCCCUCUACGCGUACGGGUGUUGGGAGACAUAGCCCGGAGAUGGAUUCUGAGACACGAAUCCAGACCCUACGGGGUGCAGCAGGCGCGAAAACUUGGCAAUGCGAGCAAUCGUGACCAGGGAACUCCAAGUGGCUGGGGUAAGACCCAGUCUUUUCAGAACUCUUCAAAGGUUUUAGAAUAAGGGGUGGGUAAGGACGGUGCCAGCCGCCGCGGUAAUACCGGCGCCUCAAGUGGUAGUCGCUUUUAUUGGGCCUAAAACGUCCGUAGCCGGUUUGGUACAUUCGUGGGUAAAUCAACUCGCUCAACGAGUUGAAUUCUGCGAGGACGGCCAGACUUGGGACCGGGAGAGGUGUGGGGUACUCUCAGGGUAGGGGUAAAAUCCUGUCAUCCUGAGAGGACCACCUGUUGCGAAGGCGCCACACUAGAACGGAUCCGACGGUCAGGGACGAAGCCUAGGGGCACGAACCGGAUUAGAUACCCGGGUAGUCCUAGGUGUAAACGCUGUGGACUUGAUGUUGGAGGAGCUCCGAGCUCUUUCAGUGUCGAAGCGAAGGUGAUAAGUCCACUGCCUGGGAAGUACGGUCGCAAGGCUGAAACUUAAAGGAAUUGGCGGGGGAGCACCGCAACCUGAGGAUUGUGCGGUUUAAUUGGAGUCAACGCCGG